rnacentral:rRNA from 1 species
UGGCGGCACGCUUAACACAUGCAAGUCGAACGGAGAUAUUUGAGUUUACUUAGAUAUCUUAGUGGCGGACGGGUGAGUAACACGUGAGCAACCUGCCUCUGAGAGAGGGAUAGCUUCUGGAAACGGAUGGUAAUACCUCAUAACAUAUACUUUAGGCAUCUUUAGUAUAUCAAAGAUUUAUCGCUCAGAGAUGGGCUCGCGUCUGAUUAGCUAGUUGGUGAGGUAACGGCCCACCAAGGCGACGAUCAGUAGCCGGACUGAGAGGUUGAACGGCCACAUUGGGACUGAGACACGGCCCAGACUCCUACGGGAGGCAGCAGUGGGGAAUAUUGCACAAUGGGGGGAAAAACCCCUGAUGCAGCGAUGCCGCGUGGAGGAAGAAGGUUUUCGGAUUGUAAACUCCUGUCUUAAAGGACGAUAAUGACGGUACUUUAGGAGGAAGCUCCGGCUAACUACGUGCCAGCCGCCGC